GGGGUUAUAGCUCAGUUGGGAGAGCAGUAGACUGAAGUUGACGAGUCAUUUAUUCUUCUAAAGGUCCCCAGUUCAAUCCUGGGUGACCCCA